UGCCAGCAGCCGCGGUAAUACGGAGGGAUCUAGCGUUAUUCGGAAUUACUGGGCGUAAAGCGAGCGUAGGCGGAUUUGUAAGUUGGAGGUGAAAUCCCAGAGCUUAACUCUGGAACUGCCUUCAAAACUACAUUUCUUGAGUUUGGUAGAGGAGAGUGGAAUUCCUAGUGUAGAGGUGAAAUUCGUAGAUAUUAGAAAGAAUACCAAUUGCGAAGGCAGCUUUCUGGAUCAUUACUGACACUGAGGAACGAAAGCAUGGGUAGCGAAGAGGAUUAGAUA
rnacentral:rRNA from 1 species